rnacentral:rRNA from 1 species
GACGAACGCUGGCGGCGUGCCUAAUACAUGCAAGUAGAACGCACAGUUUAUACCGUAGCUUGCUACACCAUAGACUGUGAGUUGCGAACGGGUGAGUAACGCGUAGGUAACCUGCCUGGUAGCGGGGGAUAACUAUUGGAAACGAUAGCUAAUACCGCAUAAUAUUAAUUAUUGCAUGAUAAUUAAUUGAACGGUGCAAUUGCACCACUACCAGAUGGACCUGCGUUGUAUUAGCUAGUAGGUGAGGUAACGGCUCACCUAGGCGACGAUACAUAGCCGACCUGGGAAGGUGAUCGGCCACACUGGGACUGGGACACGGCCCCGACCCCUACGGGAGGCAGCAGUAGGGAAUCUUCGGCAAUGGACGAAAGUCUGACCGAGCAACGCCGCGGGAGGGAAGAAGGUUUUCGGGUCGUAAAGCUCUGUUGUAAGAGAAGAACGGGUGUGAGAGUGGAAAGUUCACACUGUGACGGUAGCUUACCAGAAAGGGACGGCUAACUACGUG